GAUGAAGAACGCAGCGAAACGCGAUAUGUAAUGUGAAUUGCAGAAUUCAGUGAAUCAUCGAAUCUUUGAACGCACAUGGCGCCUUCCAGUAUCCUGGGAGGCAUGCCUGUCCGAGCGUCGUUUCAACCCUCGAGCCCUCGUGGCCCGGCGUUGGGGAUCUGCCACGGCAGGCCCCGAAAUACAGUGGCGGACCCGUUAGGCCCUUCCUUUGCGUAGUAGCAUCAGCCUCGCAUCGGGAGCCGGCGGGCUAUCCUGCCUCUAAACCCCCCAACAAGCCCGCUCCGGCGGCACCAAGGUUGACCUCGGAUCAGGUAGGAAUACCCGCUGAACUUAAGCAUAUCAAUAAGCGGAGGA
rnacentral:misc_RNA from 1 species